UUUCUUUCUAAGUAUGAAUUCAGAAUCUCCUAAGCAGCAAGAAUCCAAUAGGUUAGUGGUUGUCAGAUGUCAACCUUGGGUAAGAUUUUCUGGUCCCAAUGUUCUUGUCUCCUGGGUAGAUAUUGACAAUAACCAUAUGGAGGAAACACUGCUCCAAGGUUUUUUAAUAGUUAGGAAGUAGCAAUUCCCAUCUUGCAUUGCCCACAUAAUUUUCUAUUCCAACUCCCCUUACCUCCAAAGUUAUUUUUUUUCCAAAGUUCCUCACAAUUAAAAACUUCAGAACAUAAAUUUCAGUCUCCAAGGGUUUAUUAAGUAUAAUCUGUAUCCUCAGCAUUGAGCAAAAUUGGAUAGAGCAGUCUUGAGACACGAGUCCUUCUCUCAACUUUACUUGGAGAUAAUAUCACUCUUUCAGUGUUAUAAAGAUAAGGAAACAGGCUUGCAAAGUUAAGUAACUUGUCUAACAUCAAACAGCUAGCAAUGGCAGAGUUGGGAAUCCAAGGCAGAUUUUCUUAACUCUAAAUCCUGGGUUCUUAAUGAAACUACUCUACAGUAACAACAAUAGAAUUUAAAGUAGACAAACAGUAGUUGGAAUUAGAGUAGUCAGGAGAGAUUUAAUGGAGGUGCUGUAGUUUGAACCUUGAAUGUCACCCAAAGGUCUACAAAGGCUUGGCCUCCUGUCCAUGGUGCUAUCAGGAGGUGGUGAAAACAUCAGCAGAUGGGGCCUAGUAGAAGAAAGUUAUAGGAUGUCCUCAGGAAGGGUAUUGGGGCCUGGCCCCUCCUCUUCCAUUGCUUCUUUGUUUUCUGGUUAUCCUGAGAUGAGCAGCUUCCUUUACCAUGGGCUCCUUCCAUGAUGUGUGGCCUCACUCCAGGCCCAAACCAUGAAACUUC
rnacentral:lncRNA from 1 species